CCUACGGGAGGCAGCAGUGGGGGAUAUUGCACAAUGGGGGAAACCCUGAUGCAGCGACGCCGCGUGUAGGAAGACGGUCCUCUGGAUUGUAAACUACUUUCCCCAGGGACGAAGAUGACGGUACCUGGGGAGGAAGCUCCGGCUAACUACGUGCCAGCAGCCGCGGUAAUACGUAGGGAGCGAGCGUUGUCGGGAAUUACUGGGUGUAAAGGGAGCGUAGGCGGGGAUGCAGGUUGGUGGUAAAAUCUACCGGCUCAACUGGUAGUCGCAUUCAAAACUGGAGCUCUUGAGUGAAGUAGAGGCAGGCGGAAUUCGUGGUGUAGCGGUGAAAUGCGUAGAUAUUAGGAGGAACACCAGUGGCGAAGGCGGCCUGCUGGGCUUUUACUGACGCUGAGGCUCGAAAGUGUGGGGAGCAAACAGGAUUAGAUACCCUUGUAGUC
rnacentral:rRNA from 1 species